CCUCUUAUGAAAAAAAAGAGAUCAACAGUGAAAGCAAUCAUAAACGGGUUUGGAACUCUCUCUCUCUCUCUCUCUCUCUCUCUCUCUCUCUCCCUUUUUUUCUCUGCCUUCUUCUUGGUUUCAAACACAACAUCAUCAUCGUCGACACUACAAACCACCACAACAACCUGAGAAAUCAUCAUGCUUCCUCUUUCCCUUCUCAAGACUAGUUUCUCAAGGCCACCUUAUGUUGGUGGAGCUGAAAAAUGGGGAGACUCACAACGGGCAUUUGGUUAAUUACGAUACAUUUGGUUAAUUACGAUACAUGGAUGAAUAUUCAUCUUCGAGAAGUCAUUUGCACCAAUAAAGUAAUGAUCUUUAUCACCAGCCAUUGUUAUUUACUGUCUUGGCAUUUGUUUGUUGCUUGGAAGAACAAGGUGAAUAUGAUGAACAUAUAAUGUUUUAA